rnacentral:rRNA from 1 species
GACGAACGCUGGCGGCGUGCUUAACACAUGCAAGUCGAACGGAAAGGCCCUGCUUUUGUGGGGUGCUCGAGUGGCGAACGGGUGAGUAACACGUGAGUAACCUGCCCUUGACUUUGGGAUAACUUCAGGAAACUGGGGCUAAUACCGGAUAGGAGCUCCUGCUGCAUGGUGGGGGUUGGAAAGUUUCGGCGGUUGGGGAUGGACUCGCGGCUUAUCAGCUUGUUGGUGGGGUAGUGGCUUACCAAGGCUUUGACGGGUAGCCGGCCUGAGAGGGUGACCGGCCACAUUGGGACUGAGAUACGGCCCAGACUCCUACGGGAGGCAGCAGUGGGGAAUAUUGCACAAUGGGCAGAAGCCUGAUGCAGCAACCCCGCGUGCGGGAUGACGGCCUUCGGGUUGUAAACCGCUUUCGCCUGUGACGAAGCGUGAGUGACGGUAAUGGGUAAAGAAGCACCGGCUAACUACGUG